AAAAUUCCAAUUUUUUGUGGGAAGUGUUAUUUAAUUAUUGACAACGUCCCUGUAAAAUUUCAAGAAAAAAUUCCAAGUCUAGGUACCUCAACUCGAAAAUGUGCCCCUUAUAUAAUUUUUUAAAAAUUCACCGUUUGUCAAAAAAUUCCAAAUUUUUUUGAGGAGAUUAAUAUUGGGUUUAUGAACAUUCGUGCAAAAGUUCAUGAAAAAAUUCGAAGUCUAGGUCCCUCAAAAGUGGUUUUCCUCCUAUAGCCAAAAAAGGGCUCUCUUUCUACAAAACUGGAAAAAACACUUCAGACAUAUAUAGGGGAGGGUAUGUGUGCUCCUGGCAUGGGCCAGAUUUUAGGCCAGCGCCUGGACAAAAAAAAAAUUGAAGGUAUUUUUAAUAUUUUCUGCACUUUAAAAAAUUAUAAUUAAAUAAUCCCUUUCCAGAAAAUUCCAAUAUUUUGUGGUAAGUGUUAUUUAAUUAUUGACAACGUCCCUUUAAAAUUUCAAGAAAAAAUUCCAAAUCUAGGUACCUCAACUAGAAAAUGUUCCCCUUAUAUAUUUUUUUAAACAUUCACCGUUUGUCAAAUAGUUCCAAUUUUUUUUAUGGACAUUAGUAUUGUGUUGAUGAACAUUCGUGCAAAAUUUCAUGAAAAAAUUCGAAGUCUAGGUCCCCAAUCACCAGUCACGAGUCGCGAUUCACGAGCCCCCAGUCACGAGUCACUUAGUAACGCAAUCCAAAUUUUGUUUUCAACGAAUUUUUUGAUGUCCAUGUUAUGUGUUUUAUGAUGCAAGUCCCAUGAUAAAUUUUAAUCAUAAUUAUGUUUUUAAUUUUUUUUAAUAUUUUUAAAUUAUAUUUUUAAUAUUUUCUGCACUUUAAAAAAUUAUAAUUAAAUAAUCCCUUUCCAGAAAAUUCCAAUUUUUUGUGGGAAGUGUUAUUUAAUUAUUGACAACGUCCCUGUAAAAUUUCAAGAAAAAAUUCCAAGUCUAGGUACCUCAACUCGAAAAUGUGCCCCUUAUAUAAUUUUUUAAAAAUUCACCGUUUGUCAAAAAAUUCCAAAUUUUUUUGAGGAGAUUAAUAUUGGGUUUAUGAACAUUCGUGCAAAAUUUCAUGAAAAAAUUCGAAGUCUAGGUCCCUCAAAAGUGGUUUUCCUCCUAUAGCCAAAAAAGGGCUCUCUUUCUACAAAACUGGAAAAAACACUUCAGACAUAUAUAGGGGAGGGUAUGUGUGCUCCUGGCAUGGGCCAGAUUUUAGGCCAGCGCCUGGACAAAAAAAAAAAUUGAAGGAUGUGGGCAUGAUAAGGCAAAUGUUGGCUUGUGAAUUGACGGACGGUGUAGCAAAAUCAAAAAUUUGGCUCGAAUGUGCAAAACCACCACGCGCGCGAGCACUUCGACCACGACUACGAAGUAGGCGUGGACGGGGACCGAGCGCAUGUUGGCUUGCUAGAUGUGGGGCGUAGCAACGGAAUCCAAAUUUUUCAAUCGGAUGUGGGUAAAACAACACGCGCGCGACGACUACGACUACGACUAAGACGUGGACGUGGCGCGCGCGCGUGUGUUGGCUUGCUAGAUGUGGGGCGUAGCAACGGAAUCCAAAUUUUUCAAUCGGAUGUGGGUAAAACAACACGC
rnacentral:lncRNA from 1 species